AGAGUUUGAUCCUGGCUCAGGAUGAACGCUAGCGGCAGGCUUAACACAUGCAAGUCGAGGGGUAACAGGAGAAAGCUUGCUUUCUCGCUGACGACCGGCGAACGGGUGCGUAACACGUAUGCAACCUACCCUUUACAGGGGGAUAGCCCAGAGAAAUCUGGAUUAAUACCCCAUAACAUUAAGUUUUCGCAUGAUUACUUAAUUAAAACUUCGGUGGUAAAGGAUGGGCAUGCGGCCCAUUAGUUUGUUGGUGAGGUAACGGCUCACCAAGACUACGAUGGGUAGGGGUUCUGAGAGGAUUAUCCCCCACACUGGUACUGAGACACGGACCAGACUCCUACGGGAGGCAGCAGUGAGGAAUAUUGCGCAAUGGACGAAAGUCUGACGCAGCCAUGCCGCGUGAAGGAUGACUGCCCUAUGGGUUGUAAACUUCUUUUAUGUGCCAAGAAACCCCCGGACGUGUCCGGGGCUGACGGUAGCACACGAAUAAGGACCGGCUAACUCCGUGCCAGCAGCCGCGGUAAUACGGAGGGUCCAAGCGUUAUCCGGAUUUAUUGGGUUUAAAGGGUCCGUAGGCGGAUCUUUAAGUCAGUGGUGAAAGCCUGCAGCUUAACUGUAGAAUUGCCAUUGAUACUGGAGAUCUUGAAUUCAGUUGAAGUUAGCGGAAUGUGUCAUGUAGCGGUGAAAUGCAUAGAUAUGACACAGAACACCGAUUGCGAAGGCAGCUAACUAAGUUGACAUUGACGCUGAGGGACGAAAGCGUGGGUAGCGAACAGGAUUAGAUACCCUGGUAGUCCACGCCGUAAACGAUGAUUACUCGAUAUUGGACUUCGGUCCAGUGUCCAAGCGAAAGUGAUAAGUAAUCCACCUGGGGAGUACGGUCGCAAGACUGAAACUCAAAGGAAUUGACGGGGGCCCGCACAAGCGGUGGAGCAUGUGG
rnacentral:rRNA from 1 species